rnacentral:rRNA from 1 species
GAUGAACGCUGGCGGCGUGCCUAAUACAUGCAAGUCGAGCGAACAGACGAGGAGCUUGCUCCUCUGACGUUAGCGGCGGACGGGUGAGUAACACGUGGAUAACCUACCUAUAAGACUGGGAUAACUUCGGGAAACCGGAGCUAAUACCGGGUAAUAUAUUGAACCGCAUGGUUCAAUAGUUAAAGACGGUUUUGCUGUCACUUAUAGAUGGAUCCGCGCCGCAUUAGCUAGUUGGUAAGGUAACGGCUUACCAAGGCAACGAUGCGUAGCCGACCUGAGAGGGUGAUCGGCCACACUGGAACUGAGACACGGUCCAGACUCCUACGGGAGGCAGCAGUAGGGAAUCUUCCGCAAUGGGCGAAAGCCUGACGGAGCAACGCCGCGUGAGUGAUGAAGGUCUUCGGAUCGUAAAACUCUGUUAUUAGGGAAGAACAAAUGUGUAAGUAACUAUGCACGUCUUGACGGUACCUAAUCAGAAAGCCACGGCUAACUACGUG